AGAGGGCACCCGCGGUCCGCCGCGUUCCAGGGCGCGGGCUCUGGGGCUGGCCUCUCUGGCGCGCGAGGGUUUGCUGAGAUUUAACAGAGGGCCGUUACACUCACAGUGUAAGAACAGACUGACAAUUCCAGGGCGCUGGCUUUUAUGAAAAUAGGAAACGCCACGAUGCACUCUAACGUGGAGAUGGGGCGCCGUUCACAUUGAGAUGAGACAGGUGGAAAAGAGAGCUCGCCCUUCUUGCAUUGUCACACGGAGCGGCCCUCUCCCCGUGCAGCGUGGAGUCCCCUGGGCGCGGGCGAGGCUCAGGCGGGACGCGGCGGAGACCGAGCUUGUCCCUUUGUGGACCCGGGCAACUGCCGGUGGGCGAGGCCUGGAUGGUGGCCAGGCCGUAGCCACCCGGACGUUUGCGAGCGCCGAAGGUGUGUAAAAAUCGCUCCAGUGGUGAAUUGGAAACUCGCAGUGCCAGGAAGUGCUUCCACAGGCUUAAUGCAUCUCUGCUCCUUCUUUUUUCAGAAAAAUUCAAAGUGUUUAGACGGGGGAUGCUGAGAGAGAAGCCGGCUUGCUGGGAGGUGUGAGCCCAGAGCGCACGCUCCACCUAGACUGCGGGCAGUGCCCCACCAUGAGGAGCUCAGCAGUUUCUUCACGUGGUGUUUUCCACCAUGCAAAAACAUCCAAGAUCUAUUGUUUAUGUAGCUUGUACUUUGGGUCAGGCCCCAGUUCAAUUCCUAACAGUGACAUUUUGUAUUUGUGUGACUAAUACACGUGUUAUUAAGAAAGUUACUAUUGUCUUUAAGAUGCAGUUUCCUCAUCUGUGAAAUGGAAUAUUUGUGUAUUCCAUAUGUUAUAUAAUAUUACUGCCUGCUUAACCUUGGCAUAGUGUUUGAAGGACACAAAGCCUGAGUCCAGCACAGAGCAGGUGCUUGAUGAAUACCCCAGACACAGAGAAAGGCAGCAU